rnacentral:rRNA from 1 species
CGGAAGACCAAGGUUUCCGGUCCAACGUUAUUCGGGGCAGGGUGAGUCGACCCCUAAGGCGAGGCCGAAAGGCGUAGUCGUUGGGAAACAGGUUAAUAUUCCUGUACUUGGUGUUACUUCGAAGGGGGGACGGAGAAGGCUAUGUUAGCCGGGCGACUGUUGUCCCGUUUUAAGCAUGUAGGCUGGUUAUCCAGUCAAAUCCGGAUAAUCAAGGCUGAGGUGUGAUGACGAGGCACUACGGU